CAUUUCUCUGAUAAUUAGUGGUGGUGAGCAUCUUUACAUGUGCUUUUUGGCCAUCUGUAUGUCUUCUUUCAUUUAGCUGUAUUUAAUAUUUCUUUAUUGAUCAAACUGUCACAACCUGGGCAAUAGGAGUCUCAUUAAACAGGCUGCUUUGUCCUUUCAGUACUGCCUCGGACAUUUUUGAAAGCAUCCUUGUUUUCUGGGAACAAGAUAUUCCAGGCCCACUGUGAUCCCUGCCCCCAAAACAUAUAAUUUCUCCUCUCCAAGAAGCCCUGAGUGGUAUCAGAGGCCCAGUCUGGCCCAGGAGUAUACAUCCCACUUGAUCUGCAUAAGAGCUGGUUGUAGCAGGACGACACGGCUGUUGGGCCACCAGGGAAACUGGCCUGGGAAAGACAGAUCUUUUUUUUUUAAUCAUUAUUAUUAUUUUAAUUUUUAUUGGUGUAUAGGUGAUUUAAUGUUGUUACUUUCUGCUGUACAGUGAAGUGAAUCAGUUAUAUACAUAUAUCCACUCUUUUUAAGAUUCUUUUCCCAUGACAGAUCUUUUUAAGGUCCUGAGUUCAUACAGACAUCUCCAGCUUAGCUGUCAUCACUAAAUCCUUUCUCAUUUCGUUCUAAUAUGAUUUUUUUCCUAUUAACAUAUGUACUUAAAAUGUAAUCCCUUCUUUACCGGAUAAACAAAAUGUGGUAUAUCCAUACAAUGGAAUAUUCUUCAGCAAUAAGAAGGAAUGGAUGCUUGCUACAUGUCAUAUGGGUAAGCCUCAAAAACAUUAUGCUUAGUGAAAGAAGCCAAAGAAGAUCCAAAAGAUGUCUGCUGUAUGAUUCCAUUUAUAUAUGAAAUGUCCAGCAAAGGUAAAUCUAUAGGGACAAAGUAGAUGAGUGGUCACCUGGGCUGGGGUAGGAGUAGGGAGCUUUGGGGAUGAUAGAGAGGGACUGUGGUGAGGAAUUGUACAACUCCAUAAACUUAAUAAAAAUCAUUGAAUGUAUAUUUAAAACAGGUGAAUUCUAUGGGAAUGUAAGUUAUCUUAAUACAGUUCUUAAAAAAGUAAACCCUUCUUUCAACUUCUACUUAUACCUCAGUUGGUUACGUUGACCCAAGAUGUUCCAUUAUAUUGACUUUUUUAACUAAAAAAAAAAACCAUAAACCUGUCUUCCAUACCUUGCAGUUGAUACAUCCCUCCUGGUCACAAAUCUGCCUUAUUCUAGUUAACAGUCAUAUCUUCAUUUGGACGCCAAGUAGAGCCAGAAUCGGAUACUUUAUUGCUCAUCUGUUCAUUCCUACCAUUUUUUCACACAGGCACUUCAUUUUUAUGAAAUAUUUUGAUUAUUUUCCCCUCGGGUGAUUGAAGAAGAUCAACAGUUGCUAUGAUUGUGACUUCCUGCCGAGCUGCUGUGAGGAGGUGGCAUCCUCGUCACACACAAACACCGUGCGGGGAUGCUGCUGGAAGGCAGACACGGUCCACAUGUGGUUCACUCCCUCCUCGAUGGCCUUGUAUAGAGCAAACGCCUUGUGAGCACCCGUGAUGAGGAUCAUCACCUGGGGAUCAGAAAACAAGCCUGUGAUGGAGGAGAAGGAGCAGCGGAACGGGGAGUCUAGACACCUGAAUCCUGGUGGCCACCCAGGACAAUCCCCGACCCAGGCCCCGCUUCCCCACCCCUCGACAACCCCCACCUGGCUAGAUACUCUACUGUUGAACUCUUCCUCAAUAAAUAGAGAGGUCAUGGGAUCAUCUUGGCUCACUAGAGCAGGUGGAGGCCUGGAGAGGUGUGUUCUUUCAGUACCAGAGAGGGGCGCUCCCAGCGGCCUGCCUUGCUUUGCAGAUCUUGUUUCCCCCAAAGAACACGCGGCAAAGAAAUGAGAACACACCACACGUGUGGUCCACAGGCAGCUGGGCAACCACAUCCUGCAGUUCCCGUGACUUGGUUCGCCUCUUCCUUGGGCCUCGCUGCGACUCCGGAGCAGCUUGAGAGAGUGGGCUUCUAAUGCGCUUCAAAUGAUUCUGAUGAUCAGCCAGAUUUGGGGACCCCUAAGGAAGAGAAAGAUCAACCGUGAUGAUUCGGCUGAUGAUUUGUUCAGCUUUUGUGUCGCUGUGCAGGUGUCAGGAACGACUUCUUUCACCAGGGAAACAUCUUGUGUUGCCCCUCUCUUGGCUACCCAGCUCUUCUUUCCCCCGCUUGCCAAUUUCUUACCAGAGAAGGGAGUUCCAAGCCAAGGAUCCCCAUGAAUUUCUCGAUGUGUCGUCCAAAGAGUUUGAGGAAACACGGAGGGUGUGAAGGGCAUCAGAUGAGGCUGCCAACCCAACAAAGACUUGCUCUAACCUUGGGAUCGCUUGCUUAGGAUGAAAGGCCAACCCUGCAGUCACUUGGGGUGGGAAAGGAAGGCCAUUUCCCUCUGGGCCACAGCAACCCCACCACCUGACACAGAGCCAGGCCUGGGGCAGUUUGGGACUGAGGCCUUCAGUGACCACAUGGAACUCUAAGAGAAGUGCAGUGGCCAGGGCCCAGUAGACUCCUCAAAGGCUCAGGAAAUUGGAGUCAGUGUUGGGUUCUGUAAACUGUGAUGGGAGAGGAAAACCUGUCAAAACACAGCAAUUUUGUUUGAAGGGUCAUGCUGGCUGUUGGCUGGGGAAUAAUAUAUUUUUUUUCUGAAAUUGCUUCUCCUUUUUGGGAUUAUUAGAAUUUCACAGUAGGGGUGAAGACAUUGGGAGCUGAAGUGGUGCUCUAAUCCAGCGUUUCCAAAGGGUGGUCCACGUGUAUGGUAGUCAGGAUGGUUUCAGGGAUUAUACAGAUGAGUGUGAUUAAAAAUAAAUAUUUGUUUCAGCACAUAGUCGAAAAAAUAAAACUAGCACCGUAAAUAUGUGAUUUCAUGGAUGUAUUGCUUAGCAUGGAGCCAAGUUAUAAAGAUUAAUGAAUUUUCAGAAAAAGAUUAAGUAUAUAAUAAGAUAGGUAAUACACAAGUGUGACAAAAGAUAUGAAGGUGGAGAUGAGUGACUGUGGUUCAGAAAACUAUCAAGCCAUGCGUUUGACAUGAGCAAACCAAGGUGCCAGGAUGCAAGUGACCUGCUUGCAGUAGUCAGACUUCCUCAGAGCCAGGACCAGCUCACCCAAGUUACCUGGUUCCUGGCCAUGUCACUAAUGUGCUCUUCCCUCCUGUGAGGAGGGAAAGUGAUCUCAAGGCCAUGUAGCGUAGCCCCUAGAUUCAAAGUCAAAUGCAUUUGCAGAAACCACCUGCAGUUUGCUCAGACCAUGAAGUCAGGAGGAGUCCAUAAUAGGACCAGGCUCCAGGAAAUCUGGGUUAAUGAGAAGGAACCAGCCUUCUAAAGAAGGAGCACCAAGAUCUUGGUAACUCUCCUCAUAUGAACUCUCUGGGGGAGAAGAGGACAGACGUAGAACGGGCAGCUGGUUUCCCCAUCCCUGUCCCUCAUCCUUCCAGAAGAUUAAAAAUAGCCUCUACGUUAAGGCACUAGAAGGCAUGAAUGCCCUUUGUGGGCAGUCUACCUCUGCACAGGUUUUUCUGAGGUCUCAGGGAGGGCUCUGAUUGUUCACAGAGAUAGCGUCAGGCAGCUGGAAACAUGUCAGGGCACAGCUUCCCAGAUGACUGUCAUCUUUGAAUCUUCACAGAUCCAAUAGGGAGCUGUGGAGGAGACACCCCGUUAGGAGUCUAGCAUUUGCUGAGCCCCAUGGCAUUGAGUGAAAAGAGCAGGCACUGGAAAUGCAGGCACUUGAACUUUUUCAGCUGCAAGGUAAUGUAACUGAGCAUGGGAGAGAGGAUCUGUUACUGAAUCGGUUGACUGCACUCGUGCUGGGGUCCUAGCCCAGACCAAGACCCCUGUCUCUGCCAGGGAGGUUCUUUUUCCGAUCAGAUUCGCACAGCCAAUACAAAACUGAUGCUGAGACGGGAAAAGCACAAGCUUUAUUCAACAGCCAAAGAAUGGAGAAGCAGGAACCUAGUUCACAAAUCAACUUCUCAACCCAAUUCGGGUGGAGACAUCAAAUAUAUAGGAGGGUCGAGGUAAAAGGGAGGAAAUUGGAAAGAAUGGGGGGAAUAUUCGUGAGUUAUCCAAGAACAGGGGUGUGGUUUGGACCCAGAAAUCCAACUCUCCUUUUCAGUCCUUGUAUGGGCUUUUCCAGUUGUUGUCAUGGCAAUUGUCGACUGUCCUGGCGCUGGCGGGUGUGUCAUUUAGCAUGCUAACGUAUUAAGUGAGACUAUAACGAGGCUCAAGGUCUAUUGGAAGUCAAAUCUUCCACCGUCUUGGGCCUAGUUGGUUCUAACCAGUUGUCUUUUUCUCUUUGUA